ensembl:piRNA 21ur-4666 ncRNA
UAUUCCCUCUUUAUUCCAACA